rnacentral:rRNA from 1 species
AUUGAACGCUGGCGGCAGGCCUAACACAUGCAAGUCGAGCGGAUGAAGGGAGCUUGCUCCUGGAUUCAGCGGCGGACGGGUGAGUAAUGCCUAGGAAUCUGCCUGGUAGUGGGGGAUAACGUCCGGAAACGGGCGCUAAUACCGCAUACGUCCUGAGGGAGAAAGUGGGGGAUCUUCGGACCUCACGCUAUCAGAUGAGCCUAGGUCGGAUUAGCUAGUUGGUGGGGUAAAGGCCUACCAAGGCGACGAUCCGUAACUGGUCUGAGAGGAUGAUCAGUCACACUGAACUGAGACACGGUCCAGACCCCGACGGGAGGCAGCAGGGGGGAAUAUUGGGCAAGGGGGGAAAGCCUGAUCCAGCCAGGCCGGGGGGGUGAAGAAGGUCUUCGGAUUGUAAAGCACUUUAAGUUGGGAGGAAGGGCAGUAAGUUAAUACCUGGCUGUUUUGACGUUACCAACAGAAUAAGCACCGGCGAACUUCGG